GGGGUAUUAACUCAGUUGGGAGAGUGCAACAUUUGCAAUGUUGAAGUCAUGGGUUCAAGUCCCAUAUAAUCCA
rnacentral:tRNA from 1 species